rnacentral:rRNA from 1 species
GAUGAACGCUGGCGGCGUGCUUAACACAUGCAAGUCGAACGGUGAAGCAGGAGCUUGCUCUUGUGGAUCAGUGGCGAACGGGUGAGUAGCACGUGAGCAACCUGCCCCUGACUCUGGGAUAAGCGCUGGAAACGGCGUCUAAUACUGGAUAUGUGACGUUACCGCAUGGUCUGCACCUGGAAAGAAUUUCGGUUGGGGAUGGGCUCGCGGCCUAUCAGCUUGUUGGUGAGGUAAUGGCUCACCAAGGCGUCGACGGGUAGCCGGCCUGAGAGGGUGACCGGCCACACUGGAACCGAGACACGGCCCAGACUCCUACGGGAGGCAGCAGUGGGGAAUAUUGCACAAUGGGCGGAAGCCUGAUGCAGCAACGCCGCGUGAGGGAUGACGGCCUUCGGGUUGUAAACCUCUUUUAGCAGGGAAGAAGCGAAAGUGACGGUACCUGCAGAAAAAGCACCGGCUAACUGCGUGCCAGCCGCCGCGGUAA